UAGAUCCUCUAUUUUAACAAGAAACUUCCCUUUUUGUAUCCUUAUGUUUAAAUUACUCCCAAAAAGAUUUUGUUGCUUCAUCCAAGUGUCAUUCUUUGUUUAAAUUACUCACAUGAGGCAGUUCUAAAAUUCAUGGCAAAGAAGAAGAGCUGGUUCAACUUGCUUAAGACAUUUUUCGUUUCAGGAUCUGAAUCAAGAUUAGACAAGGGGAAAAGAAAAAGAUGGGUAUUUACAAGGCUAAAGAUUAGAAGAUUGGUGGCGACCUCGGCGUUGUCACCACCAAGAGAAAGGAGACAACAGAAAACAGAAGAGAAGCAGAACAAGCAUGCUAUAAAUGUAGAUGUUGAAACGAUUAAUGAAUCGAAUGUAGAUGCUGAAAAUGCAAAAGUUUAUUUUAAAGAAGACAUUGAGUCUAUCCAUGAGCCAAAUAAUGAAACUCUUGUAUUGUCAAAACUGACAAUUCAUGGUGAAGAAACAAAAUACUUUUACCUCUAUGAGAGAAGGAUUGAAAAUCUUGCUGCCAUCAAAAUUCAGACAGCAUUUCGUGGUUAUCUUGCAAGGA
rnacentral:misc_RNA from 1 species